rnacentral:rRNA from 1 species
UGUAGUCAUAUGCUUGUCUCAAAGAUUAAGCCAUGCAUGUCUAAGUAUAAGCAAUCUAUACUGUGAAACUGCGAAUGGCUCAUUAAAUCAGUUAUCGUUUAUUUGAUAGUACCUUACUACUUGGAUAACCGUGGUAAUUCUAGAGCUAAUACAUGCUAAAAACCCCGACUUUUGGAGGGGUGUAUUUAUUAGAUAAAAAACCAAUGCCCUUCGGGGCUCCUUGGUGAUUCAUAAUAACUUAACGAAUCGCAUAGCCUUGUGCUGGCGAUGGUUCAUUCGAAUUUCUGCCCUAUCAACUUUCGAUGGUUAGGUCUUGGCUAACCAUGGUUUCAACGGGUAACGGGGAAUUAGGGUUCUAUUCCGGAGAGUGAGCCUGAGAAACGGCUAACACAUCCAAGGAAGGCAGCAGGCGCGCAAAUUACCCAAUCCCGACACGGGGAGGUAGUGACAAUAAAUACUGAUCCAGGGCUCUUUUGGGUCUUGGAAUUGGAAUGAGUACAAUUUAAAUCCCUUAACGAGGAACAAUUGGAGGGCAAGUCUGGUAAUCG